AUAUGGUUAGUGGCAGAGCUGAGGAUCAGAAACCAGGAGGCAGCCUUGUGUUGAGCCUAUAGAUGAUAACAUAUUCUACUUCCUUCAAUCAUCACCUAAGUCCUGCUUGGAACAUCUGCAAAAGAAAACACAAAGCUGCUUCUCCCAUCUCAGUCUUCUUUCUUCCAUCUUUGUGAUCAAUGAUUUAUAAAGUUUGUCUCCAAGAAUUUGGGAAGUGUCCAGACUCCUCUUGAAAUCCUCCUAAUUUUGCUUUCUUCCAAGUUAUAUUACACUCACCAUGCACCUUCUCUACUUUGUGUUCCUGGUCCUUGCUAUUCUCUGCCAGGCAUUCUCAGAUGGGAAGAAAAUCGACAUCCCUUCCUGUUAUUUUUUUCGGGGUAUUUGCCGGAAUAAAAAAGAAAUCAAAUGCAUACCCUUGCCUGGAAGAUGCUCAAGUUCUAAGAAACAUUGCUGCAGAAAAGGAAUUUAACAUAUUAUGGAAAACUCUGGAGGAUUUGGGGAGAUUUCUUUUCCAAUUGCCUUCUGCUGAAUAAAACUAGCAAUGUCAUUAUUCAA
rnacentral:lncRNA from 1 species